CUUGUGAGAGGUUUUGGGUUGCAAGAGAACCGAUGACGUGGCAGCAUCUCAUUGGCCGAUUUUUUGAGAAAAGAAAAAAAAAACGCAAGAAAAAAAAGAAUCUCACGCGAAAAAAAAAAAAAAGCUCUUUCUCUCCAGCGACGGCGAUGGCGAAAUGGUUCGAUUUUCUCCGGCGAUUGAGGCAGACGGCGACGAUUGAGGGAAGAAUUGAGUGGUUAGGCCGGGAAUGAGAUUCUGAUGAUGCAAUUAUGAUUGAUGUCUUCUUCUUCCUCUUCUUCUCUGCAUAAUUUUGAAUUCUUAGUUUUUAAUCUUUAAUCUAACUAUUGACAUAAUAAACGAAAACGAUCUGUUUAAGCACGAUUGGAGAAAAAGAUCAAAGGCACAAGUGCUUCAAUACGUCUUCCUGAAAUGGACGUUAGCUUGUCUUGUUGGUCUUUUCACUGGUUUAAUCGCUACUCUCAUCAACUUAGCUGUUGAAAACAUCGCCGGCUACAAGCUUUUAGCCGUUGGUCACUUUCUCACUCAAGAAAGAUAUGUUACAGGUCUGAUGGUGCUUGCUGGGGCCAAUUUGGGACUGACGUUGGUGGCGUCUGUGCUUUGUAUUUGGCUUGAUUUAUGGUAAAUCAGGAUUGGGCCAAUUUGGGACUGACGUUGGUGGCGUCUGAUGGUGCUUGCUGGGGCCAAAUUGAGUCAGGAUUGUUUCAUUAGGGGUUUCAUUGAUAUUUCCUUGUCAUGAUUGAAUCAAACUGAGUCAUAGAAUGCUUGAUUUAUGGUAAAUAGUUUCGUUCCAUUUAUCUCCAAUGGAUAAAAGAUGAGGAAUUUACUAGUUUUGGGAUCAUGGUUUUGAUAACUGAUCUAACUUGGCAUGAUAAAGAGUGGAUGAGUUAAUUGAUUGAGAGAGUUUGAUAUUAGUGGUUUCUGGUUGUUGAUUCGAGAGAAUUUUGUGUUUUUGUUCUUCAGACUUUUGCUUGUGGUCAGCCAUCUCUCACACAGGCUAAGCAAGAAAAGGCGAAUAAGAAGAAGAAAAAGGAUUGUCCUGAGACAAAGCGACCAUCAUCAUCAUACGUUUUGUGGUGUAAAGAUCAAUGAGCUGAAGUCAAGAAGCAAAACCCUGAGGCUGACUUCAAGGAGAAGGAGGCCAUGAAGCUUCUGGAGGAUGACCCUCUGAAGCCAAAACAUCCCGUAUAUGCCUUCCUGGUUUAUGCAAAGGAGAGGAGAGAACAAGGAGACAUACCUGCAAAGCAAUGGAGGAAUACAAGAGGGCGAAGGAAGAAGAAGCCCUGAGUAUAAAUGGAGAACUGCAAGUGGAGAAGCCAAGAGGAGAAAGGCAGUGGAGAAGGCAAGUUCAAUGUUGUGAUAUUGAAAAGGCUUUUCAUGAGCAAAGUCAACAAAGCUCCUCUUUCGCCAUCUAGGCUUGUGGAGUUCAUGACUGGCAAGGUUCCAUUUUGCUGAAACCCUCUCGCGCUGCUUCAUUGAUUCAUUCAAUCUCUAUAUUGUCAAUGCUAUGAAAUUUGAACGUGCUUUAUUUUGAAUGUGUUUUUGAUGUAGAAGACACCAAAUCUGUCUUGUAUAGGCUAAGUAGGAGACAAGACACUCAAAUCAAAAUAUGUGUAGAUCAUGAAUCUUUCAUUUGCAUUUGACAAGUUUUUGAUGUGAUUA